UGUACAAGGAUUCAAUGCCAAAAAAAAAAAACACAGGAUACACAUCUAGGGUUUCUAGAUCAUUCUUUAGAUCUCACAUUUUCAAAAACCUCAACCCCUCCCUUUUUCUCUCUGGCGAUUCAAGAACAUGAAGGUGAUUUCACCACGAUUUCACCAGAUCGUUGAAGAUUGCACGUGAUUGAUGAUGAAUCCGACCUCUUGGUUCCGAUUUAGGGUUUGAGAAGAGCUCAAGAUCGAGAUACUGUUUUAAAGUUAGAAUUCUAGGGUUCCACCGGAUCUAACGGCAGUAAGGACGACAAGAUAUAUUGUGAUUUAUAUUUCAUAAAGGUCAGAUCCGCUUCAGAACCACUUCAGAUCUGGAAAUGGUUCGAUUACUCAAAUAUUUCACUUAUUUCUUACUCUAAUCAAAGGUUUAUUACGUUUUUAA